rnacentral:rRNA from 1 species
UACGAAGGGGGCUAGCGUUGUUCGGAAUUACUGGGCGUAAAGCGCACGUAGGCGGUCGAUUAAGUCAGGGGUGAAAUCCCGGAGCUCAACUCCGGAACUGCCUUUGAUACUGGUCGUCUAGAGAUCGGAAGAGGUGAGUGGAAUUCCCAGUGUAGAGGUGAAAUUCGUAGAUAUUGGGAAGAACACCAGUGGCGAAGGCGGCUCACUGGUCCGAUACUGACGCUGAGGUGCGAAAGCGUGGGGAGCAAACAGG